AGGGUAAAAUUAAACGCUUACCGAAAAGAAAAUUAAACUUAAGAAAUAUUUUUCCAAAAAAAAACAAUUUAAAAAAAUAUUUUUCUCUAAAUAGUAUAUAUGAAACGAACUCUUUAAAAAUUGAUUUGAAUAUCUCACUCUCUUCUCUCACUUCAAUCUUGAGAGAGAACAUUUUUUUCUCCCAAUUGUAAAUACUUUAAUUAAUAUCAGAGCUUUUUUUUCUAGUAAUCGGAUAAAUAAUCUCCAGUUUUAAUCAGAUAAUAAUCUUUCGACAUGAUCGAAUUGUGUUUUCCCUUUCUCCUCUAUGUUUGGGUUCUCUUGUAGUUGAGACGGUGCUUCAGAUUCGGUGUAAGUGCUCUGAUUCUUCUUCUUCAAUUUUGGUAUCAUCUUUCUCUUUAGUGGGAGUAGAUCUCCCUAUAGUCCCUAUUACAAGCCUGUGCGGUAAAAAGGAUGAGUUUUGAGUAAGAUGAUCGGCAAUAGAGCUUAACGAAGAAGCUAGUUUUCUGACCACAAUUACUCACUGAAUCUUAAAAGACGAGUAAUUAAACGGUAAAAGAGCAGCGAUUUUGAAGAGGAUGUAGCCCCGAUUGGAGUUGGGUUUUGGUUUUCCGGUGAAGCCUUGAACGUCGACGAUGUUGGCGUCAUCUUCUCACUGUGAACCAGCAUUCACCCCAAGCUUCCACAUGUUAACACGUGUUUUAAUUUUGUCAUCCUUAUCCUUAUGAUUUAGAUCAUAAUUGGGUUGUAAUUUAUAAGGUUUGGGUCCCAAAACGUUGUAAUUUAGCCGUUUAUGGGCUUUCAUAUAAAAUAAAUAUAUAAAAAAUUGAUUUAAAUAUUAUUUUUUAAAUUGAAUGUAACAUUUUAUCCAAUCAAAAAACUUUUUCACAACAAUGUUGGAA
rnacentral:lncRNA from 1 species